AAUGAGGUGCCUGAUUAAAGGGUUAUCUUGAUAGGAUAAAUUAAGUAAAUUAAAUUUACCCUCAUUA
rnacentral:tRNA from 1 species